rnacentral:siRNA from 1 species
UGAGCCAACCGUAAGUAGAGGCUU